CCAGGAGGUGGACAGGUUUUUAGAAGGUGUUCCCUUUCCUUCGGCAGGUGGAAACUGAGGCACAGAGCCCAGGGUUUUCAGCUAUUUAGGGUCAAGACUGACAUGUCACACCUGAAAGUCUCAAAACUCUCCCCACCACACACCAUGAUAUGAGAUUCACCUUUAUGACAGCACAGAAGUGAGCUUUCCACCCUACAGUCUCACUGUGAGGGGCUAGACUGUCUUUUUGGGUCCAUCCCAUGAGGGUCUCGGGCCUGAUUCUUGCCCCCACCUCAUCAAUCCAACCUUGGGAUGGGACAUGCUUAGAAGAUGCAUAGUAACCAGUCUGGCAUUCACAGUAAGUGAUCAUUUAUGAGGAAGUAGAAAUAUCACGAGGUCACGUGAAAUGAAGUGCUUCAUUGAUGCUUUCUCCCUGUGCCUUGGACACUCUAUAAACACAGUUGAGAAAGCAGUCCACUCCUGCCCAAGUUACAGGGCAGGACAGCAGCCUGGCAGAGGCUGGGUGAGGGGGCUUCUGAAUUGGCAUGUCAGUGGCAUCCAAUGAAGAUGGUUGUCAUGCCUGCUUCUGCAAAUGCUUAUCCACUCUGGGGCCAGAUCUUUAGCCUUCUCCCUUCUGUCUUUGGAUACAGCACCCACAGCUACACUUCCCCCAUUUAUACUUUCCAGGUGAAAAUCAUGUCUUUCCCAACCACUCACCUUGGCCCUGGAUCUGUGCACUAUCUGCUCUUCAGCUGGAGUUGGGGGCUCAAGCCCUGAAGUGCUUUGGUCUGGUCUCCUUCUGAGCCCUUACACUGUGUGCUGCAGAAGGCAGGGAAGGGCCCUCCUCACCAUGACUGUGACCUUGAGGAGGCCAGCAAUCUGUUUCCUCCUUGCCAGGGGAUCUAGAAUACUUUAAACGCCCACUGACAGUUUUAUUUCCAACACAGCAAGGUAACGAGCCCACGCGCGCACACACACACACACAUACGCAUACGCAUGCACGCACAAAACCAGAUUUCCAUUCCCGUCAGAUGUCCACAUUCCAAAGUGAGGUACCUGUUGACAAAGGCUUUUUAGCUGUCAGAAGCUGUUAUCAGAUGGAAUUGGUCCCUUCCCUCCACUGUGCAUAUGUUGUCACAGUGCAUGUUAUGCAGGGCUUUUUCCAUCUCACCCACCCCCUCCUCUAAAAUUCCUACCUCCCAGUGCCCGAGUACUGACACUCUAGGAGAAUGUCUGAAGCCAGCAUGUAAUAGGUGUCCAAAAGGAGUCCCUGGUGAUGGUGUGUCACAAAGGACAUUUGGGGGAAUUCACUCCUCAUUUGAGUGGUGCUGUCCUUCUCCAUAGGGCUGAGUGAUGCGAAGCCAGGAUCCCACCCCAAGGCUCAUGCUGACCUCCACUUCCCUGCAGGGGCAAGUGGGCCUGGGAGCUGGGCCAAGUGCAACCCCUACCCCUAGUUCUUGAAAAAGCUGUCAUAUAUGUGUCAUCGGAACCCUGUGACAAUCUGGAGAAGCUGGAAGGGUAAGUGGCUGAGAGGCUGAGGCCACAGGAUAGGCAACUCACACCCCCAUAACCCCCUUUAGGGAAUCACCAUUUACUUGUCGGCAGGAGGGGAGGAGUGCUGGGCAGAACUGAACUAGAAAUGCCCGGAAACACAAAUAGCACUCACCAAGGCACUUAGGUUUCAGGGCAUUGAGAAACUUCAGUUUUAAACAUCUGAAAUUUUGUUUUUUCCAUGAUGGAGCACAUUCAAUCCAUUUAUGAGGAGACUGAGACCUGCAGAGGGGACAUGAUGUCUUUAUGACCGCAAGAAGGAAAGUAAAAGAAACUUGAGUGAGCCUGUCUGCCCCUCCUGAGGACACAGAGAAGUACCAUCUGCCAGUGACUUCAUCUUAGACUUCCCACUCUCCAGAACUGCAGCCAGCUGCAGAGAACCAGGGAUGCUUCUGAGAUACAAACUAUGCGUUCCUUCCAGAAACCCACAUUCUGAGAAAAAAGACAACCUCGGAGACACUGAGUAUGACAUCAGCCCUCAGUAGAGGAAGUUAUCACUGGAGCAAAGGAAGAAACACUCUAUUCUGGUUCUUGUUUCACAUCCUUGAAUGGAAAUGGGGAAUAAAAAAAUACAGACUUUCAUAAUACAUAUGGAUGCAUGUACAGGAAGUAUCCUGAGGAGUUUUCCCAGAAGUGGUAGCUUUUGAGCAGGGCCUGGCAGUGUGACAAGUACAAGGUGGGUUUGCAAGGGGUGGAGGAAACUCAUGAGGAGUGAGGGAGGAUGCAGGGGCUUCUGCAGAUGAUUGUGUCCUUGGGCAGAAGGUUUAGAAAGAGUUUGAUAGAAGACCUUGAAUUCCACAGUAGGAAGUUUGGCAUUUAUUUUGUAGCUGUAGGAAACCACAGCAGGUUUUGCAGAGAUCAUUAACAUAAAUUACCCCAAACCUUUGCAUUUGCUCCACUUGUUUUGGUUCAGUUGUGCAGUUUGGGAUAGGGGAAGGGGUUUAAGGGUCAGAAAAGAGGGAAGCAGGAAAGGAUGAGUGAUUUUAGAGUCCAGUGACUCUUGGGGUCAGAGGGCAGACAAGGUUUUAUGUUCCUCAUUUCUCCUAAAAGGAAAAAAUUAAUAAUAUUCUAGGACAGUUGAUGAACUUAGUUUUCUGUGAAAGUAAGUAUAUUGCCCUCUCUGCAGCAGUAAGGGCAAGGUGAUACCCAUGUUAGGACUUGAAUAGUUCUGUAGAAACACAAUGUAAAAAGCCUCACAUACAAAUUUGGAGUAUUUUCCAGUGCUGGCUGAAUUAUUUGGGCUGCGUUGCCAUGUAGCAUUUCAUGUACAUUUCUCUCUGGUGUGAUAGACUGGAAAAUGUGGCUACGUAAAAUUUGAGCUGAACAAUAAAACUUAUCUUUGUUUUUGCCUCUGUGGAAUGUGGUGCUGCUGUGAUUAAUUUAAGAAGCUCCUAGAAAGACCCUCUGAGCCACCCAUGUAAUUGGUCUCAGGUAGAUCAAGAGGGAGCUUUGACAAUGCCAUGUAAGCAGUUCAGUUAGAGACAGACAGACAGCUUCCCCAAGAAGCUGCCACAGUUCCUGGUUGGCAGCUGGUUUGACCAGUAAACAGAUCAGAACGAACAAGAGCAGUGUGCAGAAGCCCACCCACUUCCUGUGUAGGAGGGAAACGUUAAGGUCUAUUUUGGAAAAAAUGCGAUAUUGAUUAGUCAAACAUUUAUUAGUGGUAGUAGGAUCACUAUGGGUCUAUAUUUUUUACUGUGGCUGCAACUAAUUACAAUAAGCUUAGUAGCUUAAUAAAAAUAAAGUUUAAUAAAUAAAUUUAUUAUUUCAUAGUUCCAAGAGCCAAAAAUCUGAAAUAGGUCUUACUGGGCCAAAAUCAACAUGUUAGCAGGACCAUGUAUCUUUCUGGAGGCUCUCAGGGAGAAUCUGUCUCCUUGCCCUUCUAGAAGCUGCCUACAUUCAUUGGCUUGUGGUCACUUCCUCCAUCUUCAAAAGUGUCAAAACGCUGUCUCUGAUCCUUUUUCUAUCAUCACAUCUCUCUCUGACUACAAGAAGGAAAAUCCUCUGCUUUUAAGAAUUCUUGUGAGUAAACUGGGCUCACCUCCAAUCUAAGAUAAUUUCCCAUCUACAAAGUUCCUUUUCCCAUCUAAGACACAAUAGCCUAAGGUUUGAGGGAUAAGAAUGUGGUCUUUAUUUGUAGGAAAAUUGAGGUACAUAGAAAAUAUAAUGCUGAGUGAAAUAAAUCAGACACACAAAUUUAAAUAGCAUAUUGUGUCUCUCAUCUGAGUAAGGCAAAGUACAAACUAAGAGAAAAGUAAAGAAAGGAGAGAAGGAUACACAGAGAUGAAUCUCUUGCAGAUGGGAAGGGGUCCAGGGGACCCAGGGUGAGGGGUGAGGGAGAGGAGAUGGGAAAAUAGGUAGAGUGAAGAUAUGUCUGGUACAAGGUCCUAAUAACCUUAAUGAACAUGGACAUUACAUGCCAUAAACAUGAACUAAGAGUAAUAAUAUCACCCAGAAUGAA